ensembl:lncRNA LINC02434 long intergenic non-protein coding RNA 2434
ACCUCCUUCCGGUCUAAACAGUGAACGCCUCCGCAUCGACUCACGGGUUCACCUCCUUCCGGUCUGAACAGUGAACUCCUCCGCAUGGACUCACGGGUUCACCUCCUUCCGGUCUGAACAGUGAACGCCUCCGCAUCGACUCACGGGUUCACCUCCUUCCGGUCUGAACAGUGAACUCCUCCGCAUGGACUCACGGGUUCACCUCCUUCCGGUCUGAACAGUGAACUCCUCCGCAUCGACUCACGGGUUCACCUCCUUCCGGUCUGAACAGUGAACUCCUCCGCAUGGACUCACGGGUUCACCUCCUUCCGGUCUGAACAGUGAACUCCGCAUCGACUCACGCGUUCACCUCCUUCCGGUCUAAAUGGUAAACUCCUCUGCAUUUUGUCUCGCUUCUCAGAAAGGAAACACUGGUUCUGUAAACCUGUUUGAGAAGAAAAGCUCGAGGUUUCUUGGCCUCUCUGCUUCUGGAGCCAGGGGAAAAAAUAGCCCCAGGCUGAAGACAGGAGGGACCAGAUUGCUGCUUGGUGAUGCGAUCUCACUGCAGAGGCAGCCAGGAGACCCUCCUGAGACGAAUCGGAGAGUCCAUGCUGCUUUUACACACAUCCUAGUUCUUUUAUAACUAGCCUUUUCCUAUUAACGGACAUCAUUCAAAAGCCAGUUUUAAGCAACAUAAAUAUUGAAAACAAUACUAUACUAUUUAGAAUUAAUUAUAAGUUUUGUUUUUAAAGCCUAAAUCUUUUAUUGUUGUUUGAACCCUGGGCACUGAAGCUAAUAAUGUAACUUUUCUCCCUUCUUUCUUCUUUGGCAUAGAUUUAAAGAACUGUUAGACUCAUUUAAAAUGCUAUUAGGCAUUUUAAAGAGUAAUUGUUAAAUGUGUUGUCUCUUGUGGGACUGGAAAUGUUCUGUUCUUAUCUGGCGCUGGUUACAUCCUGUUUUUCAUUUGGGAAAGUGCAUUGAGCUGGAAAUUUAUAUGUUCAAUUUCUGUAUGUAAAUUGUACUUCAGUAAAAAUUUUCAAAAAA